UGCGUAGGCGGGUUUCUAAGUCAGAGGUGAAAGCCUGGAGCUCAACUCCAGAACUGCCUUUGAUACUGGAAGUCUUGAGUAUGGCAGAGGUGAGUGGAACUGCGAGUGUAGAGGUGAAAUUCGUAGAUAUUCGCAAGAACAUCAGUGGCGAAGGCGGCUCACUGGGCCAUUACUGACGCUGAGGCACGAAAGCGUGGGGAGCAAACA
rnacentral:rRNA from 1 species